GGGUUGCAUACAUUGAGUAUGAAUUUGGGGUAUAAAAGAAAAGGGCAAAUUAUCGCCAGGUAUUGCACAUCACUUGGUAUCUGCUGAACUAGAACGACGCAGUUUCCAAGAUGAAGUACAGUCAACUAUGUGCUGUAACGUUGGUGUUGAGUCUCUUGGUGGGCAGUUCUUUGGCACAGACAGGAUUUUCGUUAACCAAUACAGGUAUCGCUGGUACAGCUCUGGGGCUUGGGGCCCUUUACUAUCUAUACAAUGAGAAUAACCGGGUACCGCAAAUCCCACCAAUAUUUCCUCCUCCAAUGCAGUUUGGGCCAACCUGGGGUCCAAACCCUUUCUGGCGACCACCUCCUCCUCCUCCACCAUUUUAUGGACGGCCUUACAGAGGUUGAAACGAACAAUCUGUUCAAAGUAUGAAGGUAUGGAGUGACGGGCAACAAUUGGACAUGGACAUGGGAUACAGGGAUCAUUGAAAAGGACAGACGAUUGCUCUAACAUCAGUUGCAAGAUUAUCAUUUUCACCAUUAAAUUGUAUAUACUUA